ACUGGAGCGUACUGGCUCUUUGGUGGGGCUAAUAGUGGACUCUGGGAGGGCUCACGCCAAGGAGUACUUUCAGAACUUCUGCUGCCAGUGUCCUUGUUCUCACUGUAAGCCACAGCCACACGCCGCCUCUGCAGGAGACCCUCCAACACUAGCAGAUGCAGGAGGCUCAGGAGGCGGCCCUGGAGGAGUCUGGCGCUGUGGGCAUCACCUUUACCAGCAUGCGAUUCUUCAUCACUAAGGCACAUGAGAAACAGCAGAUGCGGGGGGAGCUUCCUCUGAACCCCCUCAUCUGCCUGAACACAGAGCCUCCAAGGAACUCAGGGAUCACAGGUCCCCUCCCCAGGAGCUUCACCACCAGGAAGACUGACUCUUGUCACAGGAGAGGAGCCUAGAAGUGGAUCUCACCCCCAGACGGACCCUGUCACCAACUGCCAUCCUCCUAUCCGUCCUCUAAGGGCCACUCAUCUUCCCUGGAAACCAUGUUCUCUCCCCGGAGAGGCCUGCACCCCCUCUCCUCCCCCUACUGAGGCUGUAGACAAGCUCUCAAAUCUCACUGCCCCUUUGGGCAGUCACCUUUUGUCCUGUAAAGCCCUCAUGCAC